GUCUCUACAUUAAUUCAAACUAAACCUUUUUCAUUUUCGUCUUGCAGGCUGGCGUUUGUAAGAACGAACCUGUCAGACCGGAUAGUAGAGGGUAGAAUAGGUUAUCUUUUCUGUCUUUUACCUCUCUCUCCGUCUAUCCCUCUAUCUUUUUAGAUAUAGGUUUUAGCAUAGACUGAAGAUGAGGGUUCGUUCACAAGUGUUUCCACGUAAGACGAAAAAGAAAAGAAUUAGUUCCGAGGCCGUUUUGAAGACUUGGUCUUUAAAGCCCCAUACCUUAUGCCUUCCCGCAGAAGGCUCCUUCCCGCAGAAGGCGCCUUCCCGCAAGAAAAGCUCCUUUCCGCAGGAGGCUUAAAGUACGGGGCUUUCAAUACAAAGUCUUAUAAAAAAGCCCUGGCACUAAAACUUUUCUUUUUCGUCUCACGUGGCAACACUGAACCCUCAUCUUCAGUCUAUGCUAAAACCUCCAUCUAAAACGAUAGCGGGACAGACAGAGAGAGAGGUUAAAGACAGAAAGAACAACCUUUUCUAUCCUCUGUCCAGUCCAACUGGUUCGUUCUUACAAACGUCAACCUGCAAGACGAAAGCAAAAAAAAGUUAGUUUGUAGGUAA